UACGUAGGCGGUUUGCCAAGUUUGGUGUGAAAUCUCCUGGCUUAACUGGGAGGGUGCGCCGAAUACUGGCGGGCUUGAGUAUUGGAGAGGAAAGCGGAAUUCCUGGUGUAGCGGUGAAAUGCGUAGAUAUCAGGAGGAACACCGGUGGUGUAGACGGCUUUCUGGACAAUCACUGACGCUGAGGUACGAAAGCGUGGGUAGCAAACA
rnacentral:rRNA from 1 species